rnacentral:tRNA from 2 species
AUUCUUUUAGUAUAUAAGUAUAUUUAACUUCCAAUUAAAAGGACUAAUAACAAAUAGAAAGAAUA